UGUAACACCAUUAUUUUUGUAACUUAACAUUUCGUUAUUGUUUACAUUCUGUUUGUUUACUUUGUUAGUCUUGUCAAGUAUCAGCUGUCAAAUUCGACACACAGGAUAGAUUUUCAGUUGUUGUCUGUGGUCCUUUGAGAAAACUCGUGCUAGAUCGUCAUCGGACAGUGGUCAGUGGCGACAUGACGCUCAGAACAAUGAUCGUGCUGACUGGCCACAGACUAGUUUUGUGACGAUGAGCUGACAUCCCCGGUGACGGCUUUUUUCGGAACUGGCAAGGAGGCAAACCAUUCUCUGUCAGAACGUCUCGAGUAAAAUUAAAUGUGUGGUUAGAUUUUUCUUCCCGCCCGCGUGGCGCAGGCCGUAUUGGUACCAAGUUCCUUGCUUCAUAUUUCCUGUUACCAGAUACGUGCCACAGACACCCACGCAGCAUCACACCAUGUGUACCUAACCUGAAUUGCCGAGUGAGUAAACUAGCAUUUCGUUGUUAUUCGAUUUCCGAUGACUUUGGAUUUCGAAAGCCAUCUGCCUUGUCUUUAUUUCUACACGUAGCAACGUCUAACCCCGCGUAUUUCUUUUACAGCAAUUUCAAUCCUGCCCGGUGAAGCGUGCGAUUGCCAGACGCGUGUCACCUGACCCAACCCCAAGGUAAGCGCCAUGACCUUCCACGUGUCGAUUAGGUUAUUUUGCAAGUGUCACGUUUAAACAGCAAAGCUACC